UAGUUCAGCCCCUGGCAGUGGAUUGCUCUCGUCCCCAGGACGUCUGGCUUCACCCUCGCCCGCAUACAGCAACUGUUACACAAAAUAAAUCAGUUGACAUUAACUGAGUGAAUAAAAAUAAAUUACAAAAGUUGUUAUUUUUCCAAGAGAAAACUUCAAUUGUCUGGGAAAUUUUGUUUAAAUAAAAAGAAUGAAAAGGAACAAACGUUAAAUAACUACUGAAAGUAAACAUUUAUCCUCAGGAAAUGGAUAUUUUGAACAAAUAUUUGUUUAUAAGUUUAAUGUGCCAUUAGGAGCAGAUUAAACUUCUGCAUUUUUAUCAGAUCAACAUUUGUUAACUAAAAUAUAAUUUAUAUUGAUAUUAUAAAUUGUUAUAUGACAUAAUUAAUCAAUUUUUAUCAUGAAAUUGGUAGCAAGACCUGAUGAUCAUAAUUAUUAAUAUAAACUAAUCAUGAUUAAUGUUAAAAUGGACGAAGUGAGGACUUUCUAACCUCAAAAUUUAUCAUUUAGAAUAUUCUAGGAGUUAAAAUGAACCUCAUCUUCAUUUCUUUUGAUCACCAGGGCUCAACUUGAAUUUAAAAAAGACUUUAGAUGUCGAGGAACUCAUCUAGAGGUUCAGUAAAAAAAAUAAUGGGCCCAUAUAAUUAAUUAAAAAACUGUUACACAAAAUAAAUCAGUCGACAUUAACUGAGUGAAUAAAAAUAAAUUGCAAAAGUUGUUAUUUUUCCAAGAGAAAACUUCAAUUGUCUGGGAAAUUUUGUUUAAAUAAAAAGAAUGAAAAGGAACAAAUGUUAAAUAAUUACUGAAAGUAAACAUUUAUCCUCAGGAAAUCGAUAUUUUGAACAAAUAUUUGUUUAUAAGUUUAAUGUGCCAUUGGGAGCAGAUUAAACUUCUGCAUUUUUAGCAGAUCAACAUUUGUUAACUAAAAUAUAAUUUAUAUUGAUAUUAUAAAUUGUUAUAUGACAUAAUUAAUCAAUUUUUAUCAUGAAAUUGGUAGCAAGACCUGAUGAUCAUAAUUAUUAAUAUAAACUAAUCAUGAUUAAUGUUAAAAUGGACGAAGUGAGGACUUUCUAACCUCAAAAUUUAUCAUUUAGAAUAUUCUAGGAGUUAAAAUGAACCUCAUCUUCAUUUCUUUUGAUCACCAGGGCUCAACUUGAAUUUAAAAAAGACUUUAGAUGUCGAGGAACUCAUCUAGAGGUUCAGUAAAAAAAAUAAUGGGCCCAUAUAAUUAAUUAAAAAACUGUUACACAAAAUAAAUCAGUCGACAUUAACUGAGUGAAUAAAAAUAAAUUGCAAAAGUUGUUAUUUUUCCAAGAGAAAACUUCAAUUGUCUGGGAAAUUUUGUUUAAAUAAAAAGAAUGAAAAGGAACAAAUGUUAAAUAAUUACUGAAAGUAAACAUUUAUCCUCAGGAAAUGGAUAUUUUGAACAAAUAUUUGUUUAUAAGUUUAAUGUGCCAUUGGGAGCAGAUUAAACUUCUGCAUUUUUAGCAGAUCAACAUUUGUUAACUAAAAUAUAAUUUAUAUUGAUAUUAUAAAUUGUUAUAUGACAUAAUUAAUCAAUUUUUAUCAUGAAAUUGGUGGCAAGACCUGAUGAUCAUAAUUAUUAAUAUAAACUAAUCAUGAUUAAUGUUAAAAUGGAUGAAGUGAGGACUUUCUAACCUCAAAAUUUAUCAUUCAGAAUAUUCUACGAAUUAAAAUAAACCACAUCUUCAUUUCUUUUCAUCACCAGGGCAUGACUUGAAUCUAAAAAAGACUUUAAAUGUCGACGAACUCAUCUAGAGAUUCAGUAAAGGAAAUAAUGAGCCCAUAUAAUUAAUUAAGAAAUGCCCAUCCGAGAACGAAAAUAACUUCUGUCAUUGAAAGACACAUUUACUGUCCAAUAAACCCAAAAUUAAAUAAAAAACAUAAACAAACAAUUACCUGAAAUAUCCUAGGAAUAUCUUUGGCGUCUGCUCUAAUAACAUCCCCCUGAGUGACUGACCUCACAUGAAAAACUUUACUCAAAUCCAGUAUCAACACAGGAUCAGCGUUCAUCUUCUCAUGCUCACUGUUGUAGAAUAUGAUCUUCUUGGAUGACACAACGACAUAUUGUUUCUUCCACCCGUGUCUCUUGAUGUUCUGCUUAUUAGGGACAUUUAACCAGCCUUCAAGUCUCAUGGCACCAUGAUCAGGCAGUAGUGAGUCAUCUCCAUCGUUCUCAAUGGAUGAUACACUGGCAGUCUCCGAGUUCAUCGACGAUAUCUUCAUUUGCAACGUCUCAAUCUCCGAAUCCUUGGAGUCCAACUCCAUUUGCAGUCUCAAUUUCGAGGAGUUCUCCUCCACCAGCUGCGCCUGAAGAUCCUGCAAAUCCUUCUGCCAUUUAGCUGCCAACUGUCCAUAUUUUUCACGCUCCUGUGUCAGCUCCUGCUGCAAUUUCCUACAAUCCUUCUCCUUCUUCCUGAGAUCAGCUGACGACGCUUUGUUCUUGGCCUUCCCCGUCGCCGAGAAGUCCUUCCUGCUGACAACCUGCGUUAAUUUACUGAUUGCCUCCUGCUUCAAAAGCUGUUCUGUCUUCAAUCGAGCGUUGAGCUUGUCAAUCUCCUCCUGAGACUUUGUCAACAACUCCUCGAAGUCCUUCAGCUUCUUGUUGACAUCGUCCUUGUCCUUGAGAUAUUGAUCAACCGACUUCUUCAGCUCUGAUUCACUUUCCUUGACUUUAGUCAACAGUUGCUCUUUGGCUGUCAACUCGUGGUGAUGCUUUACGAGGCCAUCUUUGUACUCCAAUUCUUUCAUUGUUCGUUCUUUUUCGAGAUCAGCAACUGUCUCCUCAGCUAUCGACCUGGCUAAUGCCUCACUGUCACCUCGAGCUAGGGACAACUGCAACUGGUGGACUAGGGAACUUCUUUCCUCCUCGAGUUCUUGCUGAAGACGA